CUCAACCUUGUUCCCCCGUCUCUAUUCCAGUAUUUAACCUUGCGUUUUAUAGUUGAGACUUUUAAAAAAACUCAACUGUUCUUCGUCUUGUCUUGCAGAUAGACUCUAUACCACACAUCAAAGCUGGAGCUUCAAUUCUAAUUCAAAACAAAUCCUUCUCUGUCCCUUUAAACUCACAAAUAAUUCUCGGUUUUUGGCCACAAACAGUCCUGUUGGCUGGAGCUCGGUGUGAAUUUCAAUUCUGAUUCUUUUUCUUCUUCAUGAUGCUAACUAUCCGAAAAUGCCUUAAAAGCAACUUCUUCGACUUAGAUUAUUUUGUUAAUGCUUCCUCCAAGACAUAUUGGCGUGCUUUUUCUUCACCCGAAGUUUCCCAUUUUGAAAGAGCUAGCAUUAUUCAUCAAGAAGAGAAAUUAACAGACCCAAGAAACAAGUCUAAUUUUGAUGUUCUUGUGGCUAGAGUUAAUGUUGGAAACAGUGACAACGAAGUUUUCCAAUCUCUCCUUCAUGACCAAUUGUGUAAUGCUAUACAGCCUUCUGAUGAUCUUAUUAAUAAGCUGCUGCACCGCUUUAAGGAUGAUUGGAAAUCUGCAUUGGGUAUUUUUAGAUGGGCAGAGUCGCGCUCAGACUACAAACUCACACUACAGGCAUUUGAUACGAUGGUUGACAUAUUGGGGAAGGCAAAACAGGUGGACCAGAUGAAGUCUCUGUUAAAGGAAAUGUGUGAGGGUCACCUUAUCACACUUAACACAAUAGGUAAGGUUAUGAGAAGGUUAGCUGGUGCAGGGAACUGGGAAUAUGCGGUGAGGACAUUUGAUGAGUUAGCAACUUAUGGAUUGGAGAAGAAUACAGAAUCUAUGAACUUGUUGCUGGACACACUUUGCAAGGAGAGAAAUAUUGAGCUGGCACGUGAAAUAUUCUUGGAGCUCAAAUCUCAUAUUCCACCAAAUGCGCACACAUUUAAUAUUUUUAUUCAUGGUUGGUGCAAAGUCAAUCGGGUUGAUGAGGCUCACUGGACAAUCCAAGAAAUGAAGGGAUAUGGCUGCCAUCCUUGUAUCAUCAGCUACUCAACUAUCAUCCAUUUUUAUUGCCGCCAAUACAACUUUGGAAAGGUCUAUGAGCUGCUUGAUGAGAUGGACGCUCAUGGAUGCCCGCCAAAUGUUGUCACCUACACCACCAUCAUGAGUUUUCUAACAAAGGCAGGCGAAUUUAAGGAAGCUUUAGAGAUAGCUAAGAGAAUGGAAUCAGUUGGAUGUAGACCAGAUGUUCUAUUCUACAAUUCCUUGAUCCAUACACUAGGGAGAGCUGGCCAAAUAUCGGAGGCAGUUUAUGUUUUCAAAGAAGAGAUGCCCAAGACUGGUGUUUCACCAAACACGUCUACUUACAAUACUAUGAUUGCCAUGUUAUGUCAUCAUGCUCAGGAGCAGAAUGCCUUUGAUCUCCUGAAGGAGAUGGAAACUUCAGGUCAUUGCAAGCCUGAUGCUCAGACGUAUUACCCAUUGCUCAAGUUGUGCUUCAAAACAGGAAAAGUUGAUAGUUUAUUGAACCAAUUGUUGGAUGAAAUGGUUCACAAGCAUUAUCUCAGUCUUGAUUUAUCAACAUACACACUUUUAAUUCACGGUCUUUGUAGAGCAAACAAAUGUGAAUGGGCAUGCCAGCUCUUCGAGGUGAUGACUAGUCAAGACAUAAUACCGCAAUAUCAGACAUGUCUUUUGCUUCUUGACGAAGUCAAACUAAAGAAUAUGGAUGAUGCUGCUGAUAGAAUUCAAGCUGUCAUGAAGAAAUUAUGACCUAUAACAUGCAAGAUCAGAGAUAAAUAUCACCAAUGAGGCCAUCUAAGAUGGUGGAAUGCAAACUAGUUUCGCAAUUGGAGGCUUUUUAGUUUAUUUAGCAGAAGAUGAGCUACGAUAUUUUAGCGGAAGAGACUCUCCUUACUAUUUUCACUGUCAUAGUUGGCAGCAGUAUUCUUGAUGAUAAUGCUUGUAAAUGUCUGUUUCACAUAUCAUACGUAUUUUUUUCACUGACCUGCACUGAAUGGACUGAGGAAAGACAUGGAUCCAUUUCUACGAGUAUCGUGAAUACAUUUUUAGCUGGACAACUGCUGAAGGUUUCUUCCUGUCUUCUUGAAUUCCCAGAGACAAACAUUUGUCCAAUGAAAUGUGCUGAGGAAAGUGCGGACCCAGCUAUAUUUAAGAUUCAUUACGUGGUUACAGGCAGCUGACAAGGAGUCAACAAGUCGGCCCAAGCUUUGAUCUACCACCCCUUUGAUGUGGUGGUCCUGUCUCUGAUCCGAGUCAGCAUCGCAAGGCAAUUCUUAUGCAAAAUCCAUUUGUGACGCUGAUAGAUCAUAGAAGAAGGUGAAGCAAAAACCAAGAUGCACGGAGAGUAGUAGGUCCUUGAGGAUCCCAUAGCCUUCCUCAUCCCAAAACAAAACCAUGUGCAUGUUAUGGGGCCACUUGAUUGCCUUAAAUCAAACAUGGCCUAGCUGAUAAUCAAAUGUUGUUUGCAAGGCAAACAUGGCCUAGCUGUUGCUCUUUGAAUACAAUUCUGUGCUUUACAUAAAUUGGGUAUAUGUAUUGAUGAUAUGUUAGAAAAGAUAAAUGCUUUGUUGAUGCCCCUAUGCUAUGAAGAUGUUGACUCACCAAAUAAUGAUAUAUUAUUAAGACCA